AUUGGUAAGACAUUCUUUAAAUAAAUGCUACUAUUGGAUGCGUGUUAAGCUAUGUUAAUCACAAUGACAUCUACACCAAUAUUCGAUAUUAUAUUUCAUUUUCUAUCGACAUUUUGGACAAUGUUAAAAUUAAGUAAAUUUUACAGAAUGAAAAGAAAACUAUAAAGUACGUAAAAUAUGAUUACACGACAAACAGAUUGAACUUGUUGGUCCGCGGAAUUUAUGGGAAGAGGACCACAAGUUUUCUGAUCAUGAGCAUAUUACAGUAUGGCGCUAGAGCGUUCCUAACUUUUUCAAAGUCAUACAAAUGGAAGUUACAGAAAAUACUGUUACGUGUUACACUUACACAUAUACAGAAAAAAAAACUUACUGCCACACCAUGUAUAGAAAAGGAUGGUUAUAAGCAAGUAAAGUCAAAUGUCCUAAAAUGGCUGACACAAGAAUCCUUCAACAUCAAUAGGAAGACAACUGUUUUUGAAGAUGAAACAGAGUUAUGAUACCAAGUUCAGUUAAACUAAACUACAAUAGAUAACAAACUAACAACAAAGACUUUGAUUUGUGAUAUAAAAGAAAUGUGAUGCGAGGUCGCGUGUUGUGACUCGGUUCGUCGACUCGCUUCACAAAUCACACUUCUCGAUCGUGCUAUCCUACUAUAUAAAAGAGACUAAAUUGGAGUUCUCUAAACACUGCCAUAUGGUCACAAAUAUUCCUAGCCAAUUAAAUUGCCAUAUCAUCAAGGACUCGUCUUGAAAAAAAAAUUAAGUUAGCUGCCCAGCCCAUUUAAACCAUUACAUAGCCCAAUAUGUUAAUAUGAUAAGAGACGGUUCAGGUUAUAUCCCUUUAUCGAUCCCGUGUCUCUGAAAAUCACUCAUCCUCCCUAACCCUAAGCGCCGUCUCAGACCCUUUGUCGAUUCUCUUCCUCUCCCCCACCUUCCUAAACGCUCCCAGUUAAUCUCCUUUAUCAAGCGUACAAAGAAUCUUCGUAACUGUCUUCAGAUGCUGCUGUUGCGCAAUGCCUUCGACGCUCUUCGCCUCGGUCGAUCGUCGCAGUUCGUUAUCGCUCGGCUUCUCCGUUUUUGGGACUCGGAAAGUAUGAAGAACAUGGUGAAUUCAUAGAAUCACUCUACUUAUCCUUGAUGAGAAGGUAUUGUAACACGAAGCAUCUUAUUUUAUUUUUUAUCUUAAUUUUGUUUUCGAAUAGCCCCAAUGAUUUAAAUCGUCUAACUGUAUCUGUUUGCCAUGCUGCAUAAAGUAAGAUAUGUAGCUUGAAAUUUGAGGGAAUGUUUUAGUAUUACAGGACCUCCUAUAGUCUCAAAGAGACUGAUGUGGCUGUAUUGGAAUCUUGACCCAUAAGGUGAUGAUUACUCUUUACGCACAGAUGGUGAUACCAUGCAUAGUUUGAUCAAACUCCGUUUAGGUUUUCUUUAGGGAAACAAAUGAAGGUAAAAAGCCAAGAGCAGAAACUAGCUGUGCCGGAACCAGCAUUGAUCAAGGACCUUGAUUCAAGGAAGAGAGAAUAUCCUUUUUGAGCAAUGGCUCGAUUGAUCAAGGAGAAACAGUGUUUUUCUAAAGCAAUGGGUACUGAAAACCUCCCCUUAAGUUGCAUUAAAGAAGCCAUCAUCAUUGAUGAAAGGAAAGAGCCUGCUAUAUUGAUGACGAUUGUGAUCACAGAGAAAGACACAAAGAAAUUUGAGCUUGGAUUCAGCAGGUGGUGGUAGCCAACAAGAUGAUACAAUCGUUGAGAGAUGUAACCCAUUGAGAGGAGAGAUAUAAGAAGCUCAUGAUUUGGUUUAAAAGAUGAGAUAUAAGAAGCUCGUGAUUUGGUUUAACAGAUGACAUAUAUAAGAGUUGAGGUUAAGUAGAAAUGUUAACCUUUGUGUUACGGUCAUUUGUUUGUCUUUUUCUGUCUCUGCAAUACAAACAGCUUUUACUCUGUUGUUUUUCCUUUUGGUUUCAGUUUGAAGCAAAAGCUAUGAAUCUGUCAUUUGUGUCAUCUGAGAUUAGACUUUUUGUUUGUAAUUGAUUAUUGUUUCUUUGGCAGCAAACAAAGCCUUGGAUUUUAAAGCU